rnacentral:rRNA from 1 species
GCCAAUGUUCAUAUCACGUUGAAUACACCAGUUCUCGUCCGAUCACUGAAGUUAAGCAACGUUGAGCGUGGAUAGUACUUGGAUGGGUGACCGCACGAAGACGUGCAAUGAGACGUUCACA